UGACCUCGAUCAGGUAGGG
rnacentral:rRNA from 1 species